GAUGAAGAACGCAGCGAAAUGCGAUAAGUAAUGUGAAUUGCAGAAUUCAGUGAAUCAUCGAAUCUUUGAACGCACAUUGCGCCCGCCAGUAUUCUGGCGGGCAUGCCUGUUCGAGCGUCAUUUCAACCAUCUAGCCCCCGGCUUGUGUUGGGGACCUGUGGCUGCCGCAGGCCCUGAAAUGCAGUGGCGGGCUCGCUGUCACUCCGAGCGUAGUAGUUACAUCUCGCUCUGGGCGUGCUGCGGGUUCCGGCCGUUAAAAGCCUUAUUUACCCAAGGUUGACCUCGGAUCAGGUAGGAAGACCCGCUGAACUUAAGCAUAUCAAUAAGCGGAGGA
rnacentral:misc_RNA from 1 species